GUUUCCGUUUAAACCAUAGCUAAGAGGGCCAGCAUAUAGGUAGUGGUUAGUGUGGGGAAAGGGCAUUAAUCCAUUAGGUGGAGCAGCUGGCCAAGCAACAGGAUUUUGAUGAUAGUAAUUCAGUGGAGGAGCUUGAAAGACUGGAAAUUGUAAAUUUUGGUUUUGCAUAGGCGGAAACAUGCCUUGAUGUUGCGAACCUAUAUCAACAGUUGGUAUUCCAUUAUCAGUAUUU
rnacentral:misc_RNA from 1 species